rfam:Schistosoma curassoni strain Dakar, Senegal genome assembly, scaffold: SCTD_contig0005461
AUCUAGAUGACGAGUCCGAAACAGGAUGUGACGCGCGUCCUGGAU